GAUGAACGCUAGCGGCAGGCCUAAUACAUGCAAGUCGAGGGGUAGAAGAGGCUUGCUUCUUUGAGACCGGCGCACGGGUGCGUAACGCGUAUGCAACCUACCUUCAUCUGGGGGAUAGCCCGGAGAAAUCCGGAUUAAUACCGCAUAAAAUCACAGGAUGGCAUUAUCCAAUGAUCAAACAUUUAUGGGAUGGAGAUGGGCAUGCGUGUCAUCAGCUAGUUGGCGGGGUAACGGCCCACCAAGGCGACGAUGACUAGGGGAUCUGAGAGGAUGGCCCCCCACACGGGUACUGAGACACGGACCAGACUCCUACGGGAGGCAGCAGUAAGGAAUAUUGGUCAAUGGAGGCAACUCUGAACCAGCCAUGCCGCGCGCAGGAAGACUGCCCUAUGGGUUGUAAACUGCUUUUAUUCGGGAAUAAACCUUAUUACGUGUAAUAAGCUGAAUGUACCGAAGGAAUAAGGAUCGGCUAACUCCGUGCCAGCCGCCGCAGUAA
rnacentral:rRNA from 1 species